UUUGCUUCUUGGCCUUUUGACUAAGAUCAAAUGUAGUAUCUGUUCUCAUCAGUUAAAUAUGAUAUGUUUUCUAAUGGAGGACAAUAUAUUAAGUGGAUGUGUGGAGCAGGGAGGUAGAAUAGGAGCCUGUUCUGUCCAUUUCAUGCAUCAACCUGGUACUGCAGUAACUCCAGGAACUAUAAACACACA